rnacentral:rRNA from 1 species
CUUCACUACAACUUUACAUUGAUUUUGAGCAACAAAUGUGUAGGAUAGUUGGGAGACUUUGAAGUAGUGUCGCCAGGCAUUAUGGAGUCAACGUUGAAAUACCAACCUUUUGUUGCUUAGAACCUAACCCCUAACGGGGGACAUUGUAUGGUGGGUAGUUUGACUGGGGUGGUCGCCUCCUAAAAUGUAACGGAGGCUCGCAAAGGUACCCUCAGUACGGUUGGUAAUCGUACGUAGAGCGCAUUAGUAGAAGGGUGCUUAACUGUGAGACAGACAAGUCGAGCAGAUGCGAAAGCAGGCUAAAGUGAUCCGGUGGUUCUGUAUGGAAGGGCCAUCGCUCAAAGGAUAAAAGGUA